rnacentral:lncRNA from 1 species
GACUUGAGCUAGUUCCAUGCUCUAUUUGCACUGUCUCUUCUACCUACAUGAUUUUCCUUCUCACUUUAAGUUAUAAAGUAUUUAAAUUCUUUAUAGUUUUCUUCUGAAAGACAUUUUUCCAUGUGUUUUCUUCUUUCCCACUGAAUACAAUUGACUUCUUGCCAAAAGGAGUCACUAGGGCAGACACUUGCUUCCUAAGAUAGUUGCUGUUCUAGCAAGAUGUUAUGAAUUGUCCCUUAGCAUCCACAAGAAAUAGGUUUCAGGCAGACCCCCUCCUCCAAUAACAAAAUGUGCCAGUGAGGUUUACACAUGUGUAUUUUAGGUACACAUGUUUAGAUUAAUUAUAAUAAAUACUUAAUACUUUGUAAAUACUGUAUGUAGGUAUAUUGUUUAGGGGUAUUAACAACAAAACAAAACAAAACAAAAAAGAACCCUUUACAUGUUUAAUACAGGAGCAGCUUUUCUUUUUCCUGAAUAAUUUCAAUUCUCAUCUGGUUGAAUUAACUGAUGUGGAACACAGAAAAACAUAGCACCUACUAUAUGUUUACUCUUAACAUAUUCCUUGGAUUUAUAAUUUUAGAGUCUGGGUAGUAAUUUAUCUGUAUUUUUCUAUGAAAACCUAACAAAGGACAGAUAAUAGGUAUUUUUAAUUAAAAUUUUAAAUUAUAAUUUUAAAGCAUAAAUUAGAAAACCUCCUCCUGCCUCAAAUUAGGUUUUCCCCUGUCACAUUCAUACUAUUUUUUGAUAUAGAUGUAAUGAAUUGAUAAAUAAAAUAUAAAUAUUAAUAGAUUAAUAUUAAUAGGUUAAAGUAUGUUUUCAGCCUUUUGUUAGAUAUAAGGGAGCACAAUGAUUAAUUAUUUUGGUUACUGAUAAGUCAAACUGUAGGAAAAAGGGGUCUUCAGAGAUGCCAUCAAGUCUGAGGGAGGGUUAAGGUAUAAAACAUAAGCAGGAAACACCUCUUCCCCCCCUUAGUAAAUGGCAAAAUUUAGAUGCCCUGUAGAUUAUUUGGUCUGUUGUUCAUGGGUGAGAAUCCACUGAGUUGGGUUUUUUUUUUUUGUUUUUUUGUUUUUGGUUUUACGAGACAGGGUUUCUCUGUGUAGCUCUGGCUGUCCUGGAACUCACUCUGUAGACCAGGCUGUCCUUGAACUCAGAAAUCCACCUGCCUCUGCCUCCUGAGUGCUGGGAUUAAAGGCGUGCACCACCAUGCCCGGCUCCACUGAGUUUUAAAUAGGGAAGUUAGUAGAUUGGUACCUCUAUGCAGUGCCAAGUGUCUCUGUUGUAGGAAGGGACAUGAGUAAGUCAUUUCCAUGAAGCAGGAAUAAAUGAAGAUGAAGAGAGAAGACAUGGGAUCCUUAAGAAACAGAGUGACAUGUUUCAUUGCUUAGCUGCAUGUGGAUAUUUUGGGUUUUAACUUUUAAUUUUUUAUUCUGAACAUUAAUUUUGAGGAAAUUUUUAGCAGGAGAAAACAUAAAAGUUGGGGAGACCUAUAUUUGACAUUUUAAAAACUGUUAGUGGAAAAGGCUGGAUUUAAUAUAUGAUUAAACUUACUGAUGCAGGCUACAGCGAUCUGCACUAGUAAAGGCAAAAGCAUUUUUGUGUUUUGAAUUCAGUUUUUAUUUAUUCACAGUUUUAGAAAGGAACCUAGGCUGCCUUUAAAUUCAUUGCUGACCCCAAACUUGUGGCAGUCCUUCUACCUCAGCCUCUUGAGCACUGGGAUUAAUGCACUACCACUUGAGCUGCAAGGUUCAUUUAUUUACCUUUAGUGUAAGUGCACAGAUGUGUACCUGGUACCUAUGGGGUCAGAAGAUGGUGUCUGAUUCAUGGAACUGGACUUACAGAUGGUUGUUAACUUCCAUCUGGGCGCUGAACCAAACCCAGGUUCUCUGCAGGUGCAGCAAGUGCUCCUGACAGCUGAGCCAUCUCUCCAACCCCAGUUUUUAUCUUUUAUGCAUUUUAACUUGGUGAGAAAUAGUUUUUCUGAUUGAGAUUUUUGCUUUUGCCUUUUACAUUCAAGAUCCAAGUUAAUUUUGUUUCAUGGUCUUAAAAUGUUAUGAGCUAAUGGAUAUAUAAAGAAGAUAUUUAACUAAUUUGGGACAUGCAUUCUUUUAAUAGAUUUUUAUGAAACCAGAUUUUGCCUUGGAUGAUUCUUUAACUUUUAAUUCAGUUUUACCAUGGUCUCAUUUUAAUACUGCUGGUGGGAAAGGAAGUCGCGACGCAGCUUCUUCCAAGUUGCUUCAGGAAAAGGUAAUUGAACGUCUCACUGAUUUCUUUCAUACAGGAAACGGUAUUCUGAUUAAGUGCUACUAUUUUUGAGAAUGCAGAUUUGCUUAUUAGGCUCUACUUUUAGAACAUUCUCUCCUUCCUCUCUCUCUUUCUUCUUCCCUUGUAUCCUUGUCUUUCCCUUCCUCUUUCCUAGCUCCCUCUCCUCCCCUUCCCUGUCCAGUGUCCCUUGGUGUUGGGUUUGAACCUUGGGCUUCAUCCAUAGCAGGUCAAGUACUCUACCACUGACCAUAUCUCCAAACCAUUGGGUUCAUUUUUGUUGCCACUCAUAGUUAACCCUGAUCUUAACUGAUAGACUAGUAAGUAGUAUCUUAACUUGGUAGAAUAAAUUUAUGAUUAUGAAAAAGGCUCCGGAAGUUACUGAGUGCUGCUUACCUAAAAUAGAAGCUGGUGGAAUUUUACUUUAAAACAAAACAAAACAAAACUUAAGUAUGUGUAAGAGAGGAGAAGCCAGAAUUGGUACACCGUGGCGUGGCACUAUGCACGUGCAGAUGUCAGAGGACAGAUUUGUGGAGUCCAUUCCCUCCUUUCUUUCGUUCUGUUGAGUUCUGUCGCUUAGGUGGCAGGUUGAUUUUUGCCCUCACUUACCAGCCCCAAGUUGAUGAAUUGUAGUGGAGAGAAUAUACUAGUUGAUAAAUUGCUUUGCACUUAUCCCAAAUAUUUCAGUUACAAACCAGCUAACUCUGUAACAGUGACCUAAAAGCACAGUGAACCAACUUUCUGAAAUACCAUUUUCUUUCAUUUUCAUAUUGAAGGUCAUUAUUUUGAAGC